rnacentral:rRNA from 1 species
AGAGCGAACGUUAGCGGCGGGCCUAACACAUGCAAGUCGAACGCGAAAGGUCUUCGGACUGAGUAGAGUGGCGCACGGGUGAGUAACACGUAGGUAAUCUACCCUUUGGCGGGGGAUAACGUUCCGAAAGGAGCGCUAAUACCGCAUAAGACCACGGAGUCUCCGGACGCUGUGGGAAAAGGUGGCCUCUUCUUGAAAGCUAUCACCGAAGGAUGAGCCUGCGUCCCAUCAGCUAGUUGGUAAGGUAAUGGCUUACCAAGGCGAAGACGGGUAGCUGGUUUGAGAGAAUGAUCAGCCACACUGGCACUGGAACACGGGCCAGACUCCUACGGGAGGCAGCAGUGAGGAAUAUUGGGCAAUGGGCGAAAGCCUGACCCAGCCACGCCGCGUGAGUGAUGAAGGCCCUCGGGUCGUAAAGCUCUGUGGAGAGGGACGAAAACCCUGGUUUCAAAUAGGCUCCAGGCUUGACGGUACCUCUUUAGCAAGCACCGGCUAACUCUGUG